rnacentral:rRNA from 1 species
AUUGAACGCUGGCGGCAGGCCUAACACAUGCAAGUCGAACGAGUGGCGGACGGGUGAGUAAUGUCUGGGAAACUGCCUGAUGGAGGGGGAUAACUACUGGAAACGGUAGCUAAUACCGCAUACCAUCGGAUGUGCCCAGAUGAGAUUAGCUGGUAGGUGGGGUAAAGGCUCACCUAGGCGACGAUCCCUAGCUGGUCUGAGAGGAUGACCAGCAACACUGGAACUGAGACACGGUCCAGACUCCUACGGGAGGCAGCAGUGGGGAAUAUUGAACAAUGGGCGCAAGCCUGAUGCAGCCAUGCCGCGUGUAUGAAGAAGGCCUGCGGGUUGUAAAGUACUUUCAGCGGGGAGGCGUUACCCGCAGAAGAAGCACCGGCUAACUCCGUGCCAGCCGCCGCGGUAAUAC